UACUUGGGCGAAAAGUUUUAUUUUGGCUUAGAAUUUAGCUAUAUAAUUUAUGUAUAUGUAAUUUAUUGAAUAAUUAAGGUUUAGAAAACCUUAUUGUUUAAGCAGUAUUGAGUAUUAAGUAUUAAAUUAUUUUAGACUUAGAAAUUUAUUGUAGUGUAAACUUAAUUUGUGCCAGCAGUUGCGGUUAUACAAAUUAUGCAGGCUAAAUUUAUUUAAUUUAAUUAAAUGUAAAAUAUUUUAAUUUAUUACUGAUUUUAUUAGGUGAAAUUUUAAAUUUGGUAUUAUUUAAUAAAGUGUUUUUGAAGUUAGGAAAUUUCAUUAUAAACUAGGAUUAGAUACCCUAUUAUUAGAAGUGUAAUUAAUAGUUAAAAUCACUAAUAGUUAUGGUCUUUAAAAUUAAAAAAUUUGGCGGUAUUUUAGUCUAUUCAGAGGAACCUGUUUUUAAAUCGAUAAUCCACGUUAAGUUUUACUUUAAAUUUUAAUUUGUAUAUCGUCGUAGUUUGAAUAUUUUAGGAGAAGUUAAAUGUUCGAUUGUUUAUAUAAGAAGUGAAUUCAGAUCAAGGUGCAGUUUAUAUUAAAGUUGAAAUGGGUUACAUUGUAUAUAUGUUUGGUCCUUGAACUUGAAAAGUCUAGGUAAAUUGGAUUUGAUAGUAAUUUUAUACAUUUAUUUAAAAUGAUUAUGCUCUAAAAUAUGCACAUAUCGCCCGUCGCUUUCAUUUAAGAUGAAAUAAGUCGUAACAAAGUAGGCUUAUUGGAAAAUGAGCCUAGAAUG
rnacentral:ncRNA from 1 species